rnacentral:rRNA from 1 species
CCUACGGGAGGCAGCAGUGGGGAAUAUUGGGCAAUGGAGGAAACUCUGACCCAGCGACGCCGCGUGCGGGAUGAAGGCCUUCGGGUUGUAAACCGCUUUCAGUAGGGAAGAAGCGAAAGUGACGGUACCUACAAAAGAAGCACCGGCUAACUAUGUGCCAGCAGCCGCGGUAAUACAUAGGGUGCAAGCGUUGUCCGGAAUUAUUGGGCGUAAAGAGCUCGUAGGUCGUUUGUUACGUCGGAUGUGAAAACCUGAGGCUCAACCUCAGGCCUGCAUUCGAUACGGGCAAACUAGAGUUUGGUAGGGGAGACUGGAAUUCCUGGUGUAGCGGUGGAAUGCGCAGAUAUCAGGAGGAACACCAAUGGCGAAGGCAGGUCUCUGGGCCAAUACUGACACUGAGGAGCGAAAGUCUGGGGAGCGAACAGGAUUAGAUACCCUGGUAGUCCAGACCGUAAACGGUGGGCACUAGUUGUGGGAACCUUCCACGGUUUCUGCGACGCAGCUAACGCAUUAAGUGCCCGCCUGGGAUCGAUCGCAGNUAAACUCAAGNAUGCGNGNGAGAGCGACGAGACGACGACGAGGAG